rnacentral:SRP_RNA from 1 species
GCCGGGUGUGGCGGUGCGCACCUGUAAUCCCAGCUACUCAGGAGGCUGAGGCAGGAGAAUCGCUUGUACCCAGGAGGCAGAGGUUGCAGUGAGCAGAGAUCGAGCCACUGCACUCUAGCCUGGAUGACAGAGGGAGACUCUGUCUCAA